rnacentral:misc_RNA from 1 species
GCGCGUGAUGAUCCGCGUUACACCAAUCGACACUGAGUCGGACCCGAUGCUCAUGACGCACCGUGUAGCGACCGCGGAUGUGCUGCCGCCCCGUGCGGUGGUGUCUGAUGCG